GGUCACACCCCUUAUUCCCCAGCUUCGAUCUGUUAGUAAACAGUAUCUAGUAGUCAGGAGGCGCUCGGGGUCUGUGAUUGGCUACUGCUGAAAGAGGCGGGGACGGCUGAUUGGAGGAUUUGGCCCGCCAAUCACCAUGGAUAGAGGAGGGGCCUGGAGGAAAGCGCUUCUCGUACACGUGUUUGCAGACGUACCUGAGCGUGUCGGACAGCGAUCUACAGAUGUGUGACCAGCUGGAAGAUAGCAUGUCUUAAAAAGGUGUUACUCGCCCUGCAACUACAAAGGCUACAUUUUGAGUGUGGAGGUGCCCACAGUUUAGAAGAACCCUGAACCCACCCCUGAGUCUCCCCUUCAAGAAGAGCCACCCUGACUACAUCAGACCGUAAUGGAGAGAAUGUGCAGAAGGAAGAGAAGAAGAUCCCAUGACUGAAGUCUAAGGAAUUUCAACAUUGAGACGUUGGAUUGUGAAGGUGGAACCACAGGUAUGGGGGAAAACUCGGAGAGUUUUAGAUCUUGGAAGCCAAAGUGUUUCAAGAAGAAGGGAGCGGUCAGCUGUGUCACAUGCCCUGAGAGGUCACAUAAGAUGAGGUCUGGAAAGAUCCCAUGAAUUUGCCAACUUGGGUGCCAUUGGUGACAAUAUUGAAAGCAGUUUUGGUAGAGCAAAUGAGAGGUGAAGGAGUAGCAACAGUAUGUGUGGACAUAUCUUUCAAGGAGUUUGCCUCUGAAGGAAAAUAGAGAAGGAAGG
rnacentral:lncRNA from 1 species